rnacentral:rRNA from 3 species
GACCCCAGGUCAGGCGGGGUUACC